rnacentral:rRNA from 1 species
AGUGAACGCUGGCGGUAGGCCUAACACAUGCAAGUCGAACGGCAGCACAGUAAGAGCUUUCUCUUACGGGUGGCGAGUGGCGGAGGGGCGAGGAAUACAGCGGAAUCUACUUUUUCGUGGGGGAUAACGGAGGGAAACUUACGCUACUACCGCAUAUGCCCUACGGGUGGAAGCAGGGGAUCUUCGGACCUUGCGCGAUUGAAUGAGUCGAUGUCGGAUUAGCUAGUUGGCGGGGUAAAGGCACACCAAGGCGACGAUCCGAAGCUGGUCUGAGAGGAUGGUUAGGUACACGGUAAGUGAGACACGGUCCACACUCCUGCGGGAGGCCGCAGUGGAGAAUAUUGGGCGAUGGAGGAGAGCCUGAUACAGCCAUACCGCGUGAGUGAAGAAGGCGUUCGGGUUGUAGAGCCCUUUUGUUGGUAAAGAAGAGCAGCAGGUUAAUACCCCGCUGUUCUGACGGUACCCAAAGAAUAAGCACCGGCUAACUUCGUG